CCCUUCCCUUUCAUGAAUGUGACCUACCGAAUUAGACCAUUUACAGGAUUUGUUAUCACAUAAGCAACACGACGGGUGCCGCAUGUGGAGCAGGAUCUGCUUACCCUUCCGGAGCACCUGAGAUCACCCCUAGAUUUUUGGUGGGGUUCGUGUUGUUUAUUCUUUAGUUUUCUAUGUUGUGUUAUGUGUACUAUUGUUUGUCUGU
rnacentral:lncRNA from 1 species